rnacentral:rRNA from 1 species
ACUACAUGGAUAACUGUGGUAAUUCUAGAGCUAAUACAUGCUAAAAAUCCCGACUUCGGAAGGGAUGUAUUUAUUAGAUUAAAAGCCAACGCCCUUCGGGGCUUCGUGGUGAUUCAUGAUAACUUUUCGAAUCGCAUGGCCUUGCGCCGGCGAUGGUUCAUUCAAAUUUCUUCCCUAUCAACUUUCGAUGCGAAGGUCUUGUCUUCGCAUGGUUGCAACGGGUAACGGAGGGUUAGGGCUCGACCCCGGAGAAGGAGCCUGAGAAACGGCUACUACAUCCAAGGAAGGCAGCAGGCGCGCAAAUUACCCAAUCCCGACACGGGGAGGUAGUGACAAUAAAUACUGAUACAGGGCUCUUUUGGGUCUUGUAAUCGGAAUGAGUACAAUUUAAAUCCCUUAACGAGGAACAAUUGGAGGGCAAGUCUGGUGCCAGCAGCCGCGGUAAUUCCAGCUCCAAUAGCGUAUAUUAAAGUUGUUGUGGUUAAAAAGCUCGUAGUUGAACCUUGGGCCUGGCUGGCCGGUCCCCCUCACCGGGUGCACUGAUCCAGCCGGGCCUUUCCCUCUGUGGAACCCCAUGGCCUUCACUGGCCGUGGCGGGGAAACAGGACUUUUACUUUGAAAAAAUUAGAGUGCUCCAGGCAGGCCUAUGCUCGAAUACAUUAGCAUGGAAUAAUAGAAUAGGACGUGUGGUUCUAUUUUGUUGGUUUCUAGGACCGCCGUAAUGAUUAAUAGGGACAGUCGGGGGCAUCAGUAUUCAAUUGUCAGAGGUGAAAUUCUUGGAUCUAUUGAAGACUAACUACUGCGAAAGCAUUUGCCAAGGAUGUUUUCAUUGAUAAGGAACGAAAGUUAGGGGAUCGAAGACGAUCAGAUACCGUCGUAGUCUUAACUAUAAACUAUGCCGACUAGGGAUCGGACGAUGUUAUUUCUUGACGCGUUCGGCACCUUUCGAGAAAUCAAAGUGCUUGGGCUCCAGGGGGAGUAUGGUCGCAAGGCUGAAACUUAA